ensembl:rRNA 5S_rRNA 5S ribosomal RNA
GUCUACAGCCAUACCAACCUGAUUGCACCUGAACUCUUCUGAUCUUGGAAGCUAAGCAGGGUUAAGCCUGGUUAGUACUUGGAUGGGAGGCCACCUGGGAAUACUGGUUUCUGUACCUU